rnacentral:tRNA from 2 species
GCGGACAGCAGUUCUCGCCGAUCGAACUCAGGUGGAGCAUGAGCUUCCCAAGCUCAGAGCGCGAGUUCGAUUCUCGUCGCCCGCU